rnacentral:rRNA from 1 species
AUUGAACGCUGGCGGCAGGCUUAACACAUGCAAGUCGAGCGGGGAAGGGUAGCUUGCUACCUGACCUAGCGGCGGACGGGUGAGUAAUGCUUAGGAAUCUGCCUAUUAGCGGGGGACAACAUUCCGACAGGAAUGCUAAUACCGCAUACGCCCUACGGGGGAAAGCAGGGGAUCUUCGGACCUUGCGCCAAUAGAUGAGCCUAAGUCAGAUUAGCUAGUUGGUGGGGUAAAGGCCUACCAAGGCGACGAUCUGUAGCGGGUCUGAGAGGAUGAGCCGCCAAACUGGGACCGAGACACGGCCCAGAAUUCUACGGGAGGCAGCCGGGGGGGAAAUUGGGCCAAUGGCGCAAGCCUGGUCCAGGCAUGCCGCGGGUGGGAAGAAGGCCCUUUGGUUGUAAAGCACUUUAAGCGAGGAGGGAGCUACUGAGAGUAAUACUCUUGGAUAGUUGACGUUACUCGCAGAAUAAGCACCGGCUAACUCGGUG